UACGGAGGAUGCAAGCGUUAUCCGGAAUCAUUGGGCGUAAAGCGUCCGCAGGUGGUUAAUCAAGUCUGCUGUUAAAGACAGAAGCUCAACUUCUGGUCGGCAGUGGAAACUGGUGAACUAGAGUACGGUAGGGGUUGAGGGAAUUCCCAGUGUAGCGGUGAAAUGCGUAGAUAUUGGGAAGAACACCAGUGGCGAAGGCGCUCAACUGGGCCGUAACUGACACUCAGGGACGAAAGCUAGGGUAGCGAAAGGG
rnacentral:rRNA from 2 species